AGGGCUCGGGACGUCCGGGGCUGGGAAGGGGAGGUGGACGUGAUAGAGACGGGGCGGACCAGGUGCGCGGAUCUCGGCCUCGCGCCCUCAUCGCUCGUCUUUGGGGUUUCCGCCCACAUGCGCUGGGACAAUUCUCGGUCGAAGG
ensembl:miRNA